rnacentral:rRNA from 1 species
AAGCAUAUCAAUAAGCGGAGGAAAAGAAACCAACAGGGAUUGCCCUAGUAACGGCGAGUGAAGCGGCAACAGCUCAAAUUUGAAAUCUGGCCCUCGGGUCCGAGUUGUAAUUUGUAGAGGAUGCUUUUGGUGCGGUGCCUUCCGAGUUCCCUGGAACGGGACGCCAUAGAGGGUGAGAGCCCCGUCUGGUUGGACACCAAGCCUCUGUAAAGCUCCUUCGACGAGUCGAGUAGUUUGGGAAUGCUGCUCUAAAUGGGAGGUAUAUGUCUUCUAAAGCUAAAUACCGGCCAGAGACCGAUAGCGCACAAGUAGAGUGAUCGAAAGAUGAAAAGCACUUUGAAAAGAGGGUUAAAUAGUACGUGAAAUUGUUGAAAGGGAAGCGCUUAUGACCAGACUUGAGCCCGGUUAAUCAUCCAGCCUUCUGGCUGGUGCACUUGGCCGGCUCAGGCCAGCAUCAGUUCGGCGCGGGGGAUAAAGGUUUCGGGAAUGUGGCUCCUCCGGGAGUGUUAUAGCCCGUUGCGUAAUACCCUGCGCUGGACUGAGGUUCGCGCAUCUGCAAGGAUGCUGGCGUAAUGGUCAUCAGCGACCCGUCUUGAAACACGGACCAAGGAGUCGUCUUCGUAUGCGAGUGUUCGGGUGUCAAACCCCUACGCGUAAUGAAAGUGAACGCAGGUGAGAGCUUCGGCGCAUCAUCGACCGAUCCUGAUGUUCUCGGAUGGAUUUGAGUAAGAGCAUACGGGGCCGGACCCGAAAGAAGGUGAACUAUGCCUGUAUAGGGUGAAGCCAGAGGAAACUCUGGUGGAGGCUCGCAGCGGUUCUGACGUGCAAAUCGAUCGUCAAAUAUGGGCAUGGGGGCGAAAGACUAAUCGAACCUUCUAGUAGCUGGUUUCCGCCGAAGU